GCCGGGUUAGCUCAAUCGGUAGAGCGUGUGGCUCUUAUAACAGACCACCUCAAGGUUGCGGGUUCGAGUCCCGCAUCCGGCU
rnacentral:tRNA from 1 species